AUUGAACGCUGGCGGCAGGCCUAACACAUGCAAGUCGAACGAGUGGCGGACGGGUGAGUAAUGCUUGGGAAUCUGGCUUAUGGAGGGGGAUAACGACGGGAAACUGUCGCUAAUACCGCGUACCAUAGGAUGAGCCCAAGUGGGAUUAGGUAGUUGGUGGGGUAAUGGCCUACAAAGCCGACGAUCUCUAGCUGGGCUGCGUGGAAGACCGGCAACACCGGGACUGAGAUACGGCCCGGACUCCUGCGGGCGGCAGCAGAGGGUAAUAUUGCGCAAUGGGGGCAACCUGACGCAGCCAUGCCGCGUGAAUGAAGAAGGCCUUCGGGUUGUAAAGUUCUUUCGGUGACGAGGCGUUAAUCACAGAAGAAGCACCGGCUAACUCCGUGCCAGCAGCCGCGGUAAUUC
rnacentral:rRNA from 1 species